rnacentral:SRP_RNA from 1 species
AGGAAGGCAGCAGCGCUCAGGACGAUUCUUGGCUGUACGCG